UCAAAAGAUCGACGUUCGUAAAUCAUGACACCUUUUCCGUGUGUUAGUGUCGGGUGUCGGCACACAGAGGAAAAAUGGCUGCGUGACACAUAAAAAACUGAAAUCCGGUAGAUAAAAGCGAAUGAGUCCUCAGAAC
ensembl:ncRNA C11H1.10 ncRNA